rnacentral:sRNA from 1 species
CUGCUGCGGGCAGAUGAAAUGGAUGUGGCUGUCAAUGCCGCCGGCGGUGAGGAUCUUGCCCUCGCCGGCGAUCACUUCGGUGCCCGGGCCGAUGACGAUGUCCACGCCCGGCUGGAUGUCCGGGUUCCCCGCCUUGCCGAUGGCGGCGACGCGGCCGUUGAGGAUCGCCACGUCGGCCUUGACGAUGCCCCAAUGGUCGAUGAUCAGCGCGUUGGUGAUGACGGUAUCCACCGCCCCCUCCGCCUGGCUGGCCUGGGACUGGCCCAUGCCGUCGCG